AACCUAGCACACCUGCGGUGUGUACCUGCGGAAGGAUCAUCAACCUUUCAAAUCAGGGUGCGGCGCGGCCCCCGAGGAGCGGAAACAAUCCUUGGGAGGUAUGCGGGGGCUUCGAGCCCCCCAUUUACGCACGCACGACUGCCAUCCUUACUUUACGAGCACCUUCUGUUCUCCCUCGGCGGGGCAACCUGCCGUUGGAACCGAAUAAACUCUUUUUGCAUCUAGCAUUACCUGUUCCGA
rnacentral:misc_RNA from 1 species